rnacentral:rRNA from 1 species
UACGUAGGCAGCAAGCGUUGUUCGGAAUUACUGGGCGUAAAGAGCGUGUAGGCGGAGUUCUAAGUCUGUUGUGAAAUCUCCCGGCUUAACUGGGAGGGUGCGGCGGAAACUGGAAUGCUAGAGGAUGGGAGAGGUAAGCGGAAUUCCUGGUGUAGCGGUGAAAUGCGUAGAUAUCAGGAGGAACACCUGUGGUGUAGACAGCUUACUGGACCAUUUCUGACGCUGAGGCGCGAAAGCCAGGGGAGCAAACGGG